rnacentral:lncRNA from 1 species
GCUAACACAACGCAGCGAUAGUUCCGAUUAUUAAUUUAUCUACAACACCGUUUUUUUUUUCUUUUCUUACAUCCUUUUUUAGAUUGCGAGCUUUAUCUGUCUCGCUUCAUUUUUCGAAAAUAUCUUAACCGGAAGAAGUCGGUUGUCUGUUCUAAAUGAAGAGGUGAAAGACCCUUUUGUUACGCUAGAAAAACCUUGUCAUCGGAUCUAACCGCAGUUUCUCCACAUCGUUUGUUUUUUCUCCCCCUCCCCGUUAAUUAGAAUAACAUCGCAGCUGUGGAAACAAUAGUCGAAUAAAAACAUCAAGAACUUUUGCAUUUAAGUCAUCCAAACUUAGAUUCGUUUUAAGAAUUACAAUCGAGUUUUCGGAAACUAAAUUUAGAAUAGCUGGCGAUACUUAAAAAGUUAUCUAUAUAACUUUGUCUCUGUCAUUAAGGGUUUAGAGAUGUAGAUGAAAAGUAACUUUUAACAUCGUCAGGUAAGCCGAUUUUCGUGGAUUUUAUUUCGGUUUUGACGAAAUUCGAUAGAUAAAACAAACGUACAGUCAUUCCGUUCGAAUUUCGCUACUAAAAUUCGGUUUUUUGCUUGUUUACCGAAGUGUUUCCGAAGACGCUCUCCUGUGUUUUUAGUCGAAUCAUGCCAAAUUUUCAAUUUUUUUUUUUCUAUCAACAGGUUGUGUCGCCGUAUAAUAUCGGGAAAAAAUUGGAUAGGAAAAAAAAAAAACUCGUUUCGAAGACGGAAUUAAAUUCCUACGACUACCUAACGAAAUUAUUCGUUCGUCAAAUUAACGACACGAAAUACAUUUCAGACUUGGCAGUUGUAGUUAGCAAAAUGUUUGAUGGUCUUUUGUGUUUACUUCUGCUCAACCGAUUGCUAAGGGGUGGCAAGUUUAGUAAUUAGAAAGUUAUCCGAGUGUAUGAUAGAAUGACUCAGUUAAUUUCCUCGCUUUUAAAGAGAGAAUGCGCUCUUAAAAAUUUUUCUCCGAACGAUUUUAUCGCCUCCGACUCGAAAAUUAAUUAUACACCAGUGUAGAGAAUAAAUCAGGAUUAUUAAAUUAAUCCCCGAAGGAGAGAGAGAAGAAUCAAAAUCAAUGACGUAAAAAAGAAUGUUUGCGCUUUGUUCGCACUUAAAAUUCAAGAAUAACGUCGAGGAAAGCCACGACAUCGUCGUGUUUAGGAACUGGUUCAAAUCUCUGAAAACAAUACCCAGACUUCCCGCUUUUUUUUUUUUUUUUUUUUUUUUCUUCUCUUUCUAAUGUUUGGGAACAUUUUCAAA